UAGUCACGCUGUAAACGAUGUCGAUUUGGAGGUUGUUCCCUUGAGGAGUGGCUUCCGGAGCUAACGCGUUAAAUCGACCGCCUGGGGAGUACGGCCGCAAGGUUAAAACUCAAAUGAAUUGACGGGGGCCCGCACAAGCGGUGGAGCAUGUGGUUUAAUUCGAUGCAACGCGAAGAACCUUACCUGGUCUUGACAUCCAGAGAAUUUAGCAGAGAUGCUUUAGUGCCUUCGGGAACUCUGAGACAGGUGCUGCAUGGCUGUCGUCAGCUCGUGUUGUGAAAUGUUGGGUUAAGUCCCGCAACGAGCGCAACCCUUAUCCUUUGUUGCCAGCACGUUAUGGUGGGAACUCAAAGGAGACUGCCGGUGAUAAACCGGAGGAAGGUGGGGAUGACGUCAAGUCAUCACGGCCCUUACGAGUAGGGCUACACACGUGCUACAAUGGCGUAUACAGAGAGAGGCGACCUCGCGAGAGCAAGCGGAACUCAUAAAGUACGUCGUAGUCCGGAUUGGAGUCUGCAACUCGACUCCAUGAAGUCGGAAUCGCUAGUAAUCGUAGAUCAGAAUGCUACGGUGAAUACGUUCCCGGGCCUUGUACACACCGCCCGUCACACCAUGGGAGUGGGUUGCAAAAGAAGUAGGUAGCUUAACCUUCGGGAGGGCGCUUACCACUUUGUGAUUCAUGACUGGGGUGAAGUCGUAACAAGGUAACCA
rnacentral:rRNA from 1 species